GAUGAAGAACGCAGCGAAAUGCGAUAAGUAAUGUGAAUUGCAGAAUUCAGUGAAUCAUCGAAUCUUUGAACGCACAUUGCGCCCGCCAGUAUUCUGGCGGGCAUGCCUGUCUGAGCGUCAUUUCAACCCUCAUGCCCCUAGGGCGUGGUGUUGGGGAUCGGCCAAAGCCCGCGAGGGACGGCCGGCCCCUAAAUCUAGUGGCGGACCCGUCGUGGCCUCCUCUGCGAAGUAGUGAUAUUCCGCAUCGGAGAGCGACGAGCCCCUGCCGUUAAACCCCCAACUUUCCAAGGUUGACCUCAGAUCAGGUAGGAAUACCCACUGAACUUAAGCAUAUCAAUAAGCGGAGGA
rnacentral:misc_RNA from 1 species